ACAGGGGUGGCAAGCGUUGUCCGGAAUUACUGGGUGUAAAGGGUGCGUAGGCGGGUGAAUAAGUCAGUGGUAAAAUCCUACAGCUUAACUGUAGACCCACCAUUGAUACUGUUCAUCUUGAGUGCAAGAAAGAAGAUUGGAAUUCCCAGUGUAGCGGUGAAAUGCGUAGAGAUUGGGAAGAACACCAGUAGCGAAGGCGGAUCUUUGGCUUGUAACUGACGCUGAUGCACGAAAGCGCGGGGAGCAAACAG
rnacentral:rRNA from 1 species